AGUGGUCACAACAGAGGAUUAUGAUGAUGUCAUCAUUAAUGGACAGUGCUCUCACAGUGUAACAGAGGGAGAUCAGGAGGAGUAUGAUGAUGCAUGGAGUAUCACUGAAGAUGUGAGAAACCUGUUAGACUAUGAUGAUGUGGGGGAGGAGUUGAACGAUGAGGGAGGGGCUCUAUGACUAGCCACACCCACUGCCACUGUCACACUUUAGUUUUUUUUUUUUUUUUUUUU